UUUACAAAAUAAAAAGGCAUUAGUUGGGGCAUUAUAUUUAUAAAUAAUAAGGAUAUCAUAAAUUAUCUAUAGU
rnacentral:tRNA from 1 species